UGGGGAAGUCCUUUUUUUUCUCUAGAUGAAUAGAUAGAACCAUAAAAGUUUUCACAUUAGAAGCUCCAAGAGCCCCCCGAUCCCGUUGCGCAAUUACCCUCUAUGCAUGCCUCGUCGAUGUAAUGCCUACAAAAGUAGGGAUCUACAUGCAAAAACCUCGCCGCAAUCCAAAACGCGUAAACCUCAUCCGGAAGGAAGCCGCAGAAGAAGAAGAAACUCAGCAAAGAAUUAUCAGCGGCGUCGUACAGGGGAGCGAGGGAUACGAGAGAAGGAAACAAUGACGACUCGGAGAGAGAACGUUGAACAGGUAUGAUCGACUCGUCGUCGUCACAUGACGUCACGGGACCCGCGGCGGGGGGAUCGGCGGCGGCGGCGGGCGGCGAGUUUCAGGUGGCCGGUGUCGUCGAGCCUCUCCUUCUCGGCGGGGACAAUUUCGCAGUCGGGGAAGGCGUCGGAGUAGCGGAACGAGUCGUAGCAGAAGGAGUAGAUCAGGUUCUUCUCCCUGAACCUCGCCAUGGCGCGGCGGCGCUGGGGAUCGACGGUGGCGAAGUCGCUGGCGAGAAGCUCCGCCUCCGCCGCGGCGCAGCGGCUGCCGGAG
rnacentral:lncRNA from 1 species